rnacentral:rRNA from 1 species
AUUGAACGCUGGCGGCAGGCUUAACACAUGCAAGUCGAGCGGAGUGAUGGUGCUUGCACUAUCACUUAGCGGCGGACGGGUGAGUAAUGCUUAGGAAUCUGCCUAUUAGUGGGGGACAACAUCCCGAAAGGGAUGCUAAUACCGCAUACGUCCUACGGGAGAAAGCAGGGGAUCACUUGUGACCUUGCGCUAAUAGAUAAGCCUAAGUGGGAUUAGCUAGUUGGUGGGGUAAAGGCCUACCAAGGCGACGAUUUGUAGCGGGUCUGAGAGGAUGAUCCGCCACACUGGGACUGAGACACGGCCCAGACUCCUACGGGAGGCAGCAGUGGGGAAUAUUGGACAAUGGGGGGAACCCUGAUCCAGCCAUGCCGCGUGUGUGAAGAAGGCCUUAUGGUUGUAAAGCACUUUAAGCGAGGAGGAGGCUCUUUUGGUUAAUACCCAAGAUGAGUGGACGUUACUCGCAGAAUAAGCACCGGCUAACUCUGUGCCAGCAGCCGCCGCAG